UUAGAUACCCUGGUAGUCCACGCCCUAAACGAUGAGUACUAAGUGUUGGUGAGAAUCAGUGCUGAAGUUAACGCAUUAAGUACUCCGCCUGAGUAGUACGUACGCAAGUAUGAAACUUAAAGGAAUUGACGGGAGCCCGCACAAGCGGUGGAGCAUGUUGUUUAAUUCGACGAUACGCGAAGAACCUUACCAGGUCUUGACAUAGCACGCGAAGGCGUAGAGAUACGUUGGAGGAUAGCGUGCAUACAGGUGGUGCAUGGUUGUCGUCAGCUCGUGUCGUGAGAUGUUGGGUUAAGUCCCGCAACGAGCGCAACCCUUAUUUCUAGUUACCAGCAGUAAGAUGGGGACUCUAGAGAGACUGCCAUUGAUAAAAUGGAGGAAGGUGGGGAUGACGUCAAAUCAUCAUGCCCUAUAUGACCUGNGCUACAAACGUGCUACAAUGGCUGAAACAAAGAGAAGCGAGCCCGCGAGGGGGAGCGAACCUCAAAAAAGCAGUCUCAGUUCGGAUUGAAGUCUGCAACUCGACUUCAUGAAGAUGGAAUCGCUAGUAAUCGCGAAUCAGAAUGUCGCGGUGAAUACGUUCUCGGGCUUUGUACACACCGNCCGUCANACCAUGAGAGUUUGUAAUGCCCGAAGCCGGUGGCCUAACGAAAGAGGGAGCCGUCUAAGGUAGGACAGAUGAUUGGGGUUAAAUCGUACAAGGUAAGCCGGAAUU
rnacentral:rRNA from 1 species